CAAAUGUGCAAGAAUGGCUAAUGGCGACAAGUGGAGGAGAGCUAAUGUCAAAAAGUGCGUCAGAAAUUUGGGAAUUCUUCCAGCGACAAGCGGACAAUUCCCAACAACGGAGUCGAUCGCUCAGGAAUACUAGAAGGAUUAAAGGAGUGAAUGAGGUUCACAUUGGCGAGUCAACUUCGGGAAUCAAAGAAGUCAAGGAGAUGGUUGAAGGUCUUGCUCGACGAAUAGCAUCGUUA
rnacentral:lncRNA from 1 species